UGUUGGAUCAGGUUGACUGCCCGUCUCUC
rnacentral:piRNA from 1 species